AAGUGAGAAGCAAAACUUGCAGUCAGUUUCGACCUGGCCUUAGAUAACAAAAUAUCCUCACUCA
rnacentral:tRNA from 1 species